CCCCUAGAUGUUCUGGGCCGCACGCGCGCUGCACUGAACAGUUCAACAAGUCUUAACCUUGGCCGAUAGGUCUGGGUAAUCUUUGAACGCUGUUCGUGAUUGGGAUAGACCUUUGCAAUUAUGGGUCUUCAACGAGGAAUUCCUAGUAAACGCAAGUCACCAGCUUGCAUUGAUUACGUCCCUGCCCUUUGUACACACCGCCCGUCGCACCUACCGAUUGAAUGGUCCGGUGAAAUCUCGGGACGGCGGCUUGGUCGCUUGCGUCCGACUGCUGAAACUUGAUUAAACCAUAUCAUUUAGAGGAAGGUGAANUCGUANCA
rnacentral:rRNA from 1 species